rnacentral:lncRNA from 1 species
UUCAAGUUAGUUCCCACUAUAAUUAUUUUUCUUUUCUUUUUUCUUACUACAAAGGAGGUUGUUGCCAGUAAUAUUCCAACUAUCCUUCCAACAGCAACCAAAUGUGAAUGUCAUAAAGAUUGUAUGACAUCAUACUUUGCUAUAACGGAGGACCUUUUUAUAUGCAAGAACGGAUAUUGUCUGUUUCUUAGUGCAAUGGAAAUAGGAGGAAUACACAAACUCCAUAUGUAGGGAAGAAUGAAUUAUUCCACUAGAUCCCCGUAAUUUUAUUUUUAUUUUUUGUUAUAACUGGAACUUCGACCCGUGCACAGGUCUAAUUAUCCUAAUAUGUAAUAAAAAAAAUUGUAAUAUUAAAAGGUAUUUUAAAAAAAAUUAUUGUAAGCAAAGAAUGCGUGUUUGAUUCCCACGAUAGACAAAUUUAUUUAUUUUUUAAUUCAAAACUGCAAUAAAAAGAGAGGAAAAAUGAACGGAAAAAAGAUUAGGUUUAAAGUUAGCAUAUUUGAAUAACCUUGGAAUAUAUAAGAAAAGAUUAUAAAAGCAUUUAAUAUUAGGUUAACAUAUUAGAAUGGAAAAAUUACUUUUUUUUUUUGUAGGAGUAUCG